CAAGACCCUCGCGAAGCUGAGGCUAAUAGUGUAUACCAUACCACCACUGGAAUGAGUGGUAUGUCAAACGCUCCGGCGCCGAAGGAUGUGGCUGCGGCCGAUUAGGUAGACGGUGGGGUAACGGCCCACCGUGCCAAUAAUCGGUAUGGGUCAUGAGAGUGAGAACCCAGAGACGGAAUCUGAGACAAGAUUCCGGGCCCUACGGGGCGCAGCAGGCGCGAAACCUUUACACUGCACGACAGUGCGAUAGGGGGAUCCCAAGUGCACAGGCAUAGCGCCUGUGCUUUUCGGUACCCUAAGGCGGUACCAGAAUAAGGGCUGGGCAAGACCGGUGCCAGCCGCCGCGGUAAUACCGGCAGCCCAAGUGAUGGCCGAUCUUAUUGGGCCUAAAGCGUCCGUAGCUGGCCGCGCAAGUCCAUCGGGAAAUCCACCUGCUCAACAGGUGGGCGCCCGGUAGAAACUGCGUGGCUUGGGACCGGAAGGCGCGACGGGUACGUCCGGGGUAGGAGUGAAAUCCCGUAAUCCUGGACGGACCGCCGAUGGCGAAAGCACGUCGCGAGAACGGAUCCGACAGUGAGGGACGAAAGCCAGGGUCUCGAACCGGAUUAGAUACCCGGGUAGUCCUGGCCGUAAACAAUGUCUGCUAGGUGUGGCUCCCACUACGAGUGGGUGCUGUGCCGUAGGGAAGCCGCUAAGCAGACCGCCUGGGAAGUACGUCCGCAAGGAUGAAACUUAAAGGAAUUGGCGGGGGAGCACUACAACCGGAGGAGCCUGCGGUUUAAUUGGACUCAACGCCGGACAUCUCAC
rnacentral:rRNA from 1 species